CAGAUCGUAUUGUGUGGAGCCACUGCGCUCGAUGCUCUUCUGGGGAAAGCUGCAAGGAUGCGCAAGGGAGAGGGUAUUUCUUUCGGUUAGACCGAGCGUAGGAAGCACCGCUCAAGCAUUUCGAUGAGCCGGAUGAUCACGUCGUCGUCCAGCAACGUUCGCGUUUCAACUAAACCGAGCGUCUGCCCAGAGCUCGGCAAGCUGCUCGAACCAACGACUCAGAAACGUGUUUCGCCUGAAUGCCUCUGUGUGUGUGUAUUUGUGUGUGUGUGUGUGUGUGGGUAUCAGCUGCCUACGCAUCCAAAAAAUGCAUCUGUUUUGCCUGUGCUUAGAAAACAAUUGCUACCCUUGCGAAGCCAUAGACAAUACGAGCAGACAACAAAGGGAACAUCCUAAGCGUAAAAGGAUCCACGACACAAAGGCCCAGAAAAUGAGAGGGAGAUCUCAAAGGCCACAGAGUGAGGUGAGGGUGAAAGAUUUGAAAACGAAAUGCCAUAUGGCAUAUGAAUCGGAUCAGGAUAUCUUCGACUGGAGUAAAAGUUAAGGAAAUGAUUAGCUAACGAUGACAAACA